GACAACUGUGAUGAUCCUACAGACCUGUAAUGAUUCUGCGGACAUGAUAGCAGACACAAUGCCUGAAGAGCAUCUAAGGGACUGAGUAUUU
rnacentral:snoRNA from 1 species